rnacentral:rRNA from 1 species
CAGUCGCCGCGGUAAUACGAAGGGGGCUAGCGUUGUUCGGAAUUACUGGGCGUAAGGGCGCGUAGGCGGCCAUUCAAGUUAGAUGUGAAAGCCCUGGGCUCAACCUAGGAAUUGCAUUGAUACUGUUUGGCUCGAGUUCGGGAGAGGUGAGUGGAAUUCCCAGUGUAGAGGUGAAAUUCGUAGAUAUUGGGAAGAACACCAGUGGCGAAGGCGGCUCACUGGACCGACACUGACGCUGAGGUGCGAAAGCGUGGGGAGCAAACAGGAUUAGAUACCCCCGUAGUCCCUGUCUCUUAUACAC